rnacentral:piRNA from 1 species
UGACAGCCUCUGUCUACUUUGUGGGACAGGA